UACAGAGGUCCCGAGCGUUGUUCGGAUUCAUUGGGCGUAAAGGGUGCGUAGGUGGCGCCGUAAGUGGGGUGUGAAAUCCCGGGGCUUAACCCCGGGACUGCAUUCCAUACUGCGGUGCUUGAGGACUGGAGAGGAGACUGGAAUUUACGGUGUAGCAGUGAAAUGCGUAGAGAUCGUAAGGAAGACCAGUGGCGAAGGCGGCAUCCUGGACCGGUAUUGACACUGAGGCGCGAAAGCCAGGGGAGCAAACGGG
rnacentral:rRNA from 1 species